rnacentral:miRNA from 1 species
ACAGGAGAGGGAGGAAUCGCAG